rnacentral:rRNA from 1 species
AGGGUGACCGGCCACACUGGGACUGAGACACGGCCCAGACUCNUACGGGAGGCAGCAGUGGGGAAUAUUGCACAAUGGGCGAAAGCCUGAUGCAGCGACGCCGCGUGAGGGAUGACGGCNUUCGGGUUGUAAACCUCUUUCAGUAGGGAAGAAGCGAAAGUGACGGUACCUGCAGAAGAAGCGCCGGCUAACUACGUGCCAGCAGCCGCGGUAAUACGUAGGGGCCAAGCGUUAUCCGGAAUUAUUGGGCGUAAAGAGCUCGUAGGCGGUUUGUCGCGUCUGCCGUGAAAGUCCGGGGCUCAACUCCGGAUCUGCGGUGGGUACGGGCAGACUAGAGUGAUGUAGGGGAGACUGGAAUUCCUGGUGUAGCGGUGAAAUGCGCAGAUAUCAGGAGGAACACCGAUGGCGAAGGCAGGUCUCUGGGCAUUAACUGACGCUGAGGAGCGAAAGCAUGGGGAGCGAACAGGAUUAGAUACCCUGGUAGUCCAUGCCGUAAACGUUGGGCACUAGGUGUGGGGGACAUUCCACGUUUUCCGCGCCGUAGCUAACGCAUUAAGUGCCCGCCUGGGGAGUACGGUCGCAAGGCUAAAACUCAAAGGAAUUGACGGGGGCCGCACAAGCGGCGGAGCAUGCGGAUUAAUUCGAUGCAACGCGAAGAACCUUACCAAGGCUUGACAUGAACCGGAAACACCUGGAAACAGGUGACCCGCUUGCGGUCGGUUUACAGGUGGUGCAUGGUUGUCGUCAGCUCGUGUCGUGAGAUGUUGGGUUAAGUCCCGCAACGAGCGCAACCCUCGUUCUAUGUUGCCAGCGCGUUAUGGCGGGGACUCAUAGGAGACUGCCGGGGUGAACUCGGAGGAAGGUGGGGACGACGUCAAAUCAUCAUGCCCCUUAUGUCUUGGGCUUCACGCAUGCU